ensembl:lncRNA
CAGACGCGGCGCGGCGGGAUGGCUGAACGAGGGGGCCAGGCCGAGGGGGCCAGGCCACCAAGGAGGCCGCACCGGGCGGGCGGAGCCGCUUCAGGUUCGCAGUGAAAAGGCAGCGAACGGGCCUGUGACUGAGCGUCCUCGGCGCUGAGGAAGACGACGACGUCGCGAUGCGGGAGAGAAGCUGGGCCUGGGGGGCGCUCCUCUCAGGGGAGGAGGCGGUGGAGGAGGAAAUUCGUGCGAGGCCCCAGAGGCGGGAGAAGGAGGCCGAGGGUCCAGCUCGGAGAGCGUGAGGGAGCAGAGCGGACCGGAGGCGAGCGGCCAGGGCCGUGCCAGCAGGAGGGCGGGAAACGGUGCUCAGCGUCCAGGAGACACGCCACGUGCCGGGGCGUCGUGUUCACGCCUGUCUAGCUGGGUCACAGGACGCGGUGAGCGGAGAUGUGCCGACAUUGAUCUGCCAAAGUGCGCCCCAAGCGGACUUUGGGAUCUGGAACUGGGGCACCCCCUGCGGUGUCCCAAGGAAGAAAGAACAGGGGAAAAAAAAAAAAAAAAAGGAGGAUCUCGGAACGCAGGAACUGGAAAAGUCCUUCUUCCCCCCUGUUGUAGCCAUUAAGGAAUUUCAGGUCCUCCUGAGCAGUAUAACCUGUGUCCCCUUCUACCCCGGGGAUUCUGGUGCAAGCUGUUUAUUGGCAGACUACCUCAGGAGAAAGCCGAGAUGCCAUCAAAUCUGUGACGCUCUCUGCAACCCCACAGUGGAGGACAUCUUUGCAGUAGCCGUGGACAUGGUUGACAAGGACCGUCCCCGAAGCACAGCCUGGUCAGCGUCCAGAGCACCACCUGCCCUUCACCACCAUCUGAAUGUCCGGGCAGCCUCCCCACUGCCCCGCCCUGGUAGACUCCGGUGGUUGGGGGAACCUCCUCUAUCCAGCCUCCUCUUUCCACGGGGAGAAACAGGCAUUAGC